AGGACGAACGCUGGCGGCGCGCUUAACACAUGCAAGUCGUACGGGACUACCCCUUCGGGGGUGGUUUAGCGGCGAACGGGUGCGUAACACGUGAGCAAUCUGCCUUGGGGUGGGGGAUAACCCGUGGAAACGCGGGCUAAUACCGCAUGGCCUUGCGAUCCCGCAUGGGGAUGCAAGGAAAGGGGCUUAACGGCCCUGCCCUGAGAGGAGCUCGCGGCGUAUCAGCUAGCUGGUGGGGUAACGCCUACCAGGGCAACGACGCGUAGCCGAUCUGAGAGGAUGAUCGGCCACAUUGGGACUGAGAUACGGCCCAGACUCCUACGGGAGGCAGCAGUGGGGAAUCUUGCGCAAUGGGCGAAAGCCUGACGCAGCGACGCCGCGUGGGAGAAGCUCUUCGGAGUGUAAACCCCUGUCAGGAGGAAGAAGUGGGCGUUCCAGGAAAGUGGAGUCGUUUUUGACGGUACCUCCGAAAGGAAGCACCGGCUAACGUCUAGUGCAGCAGCCGCGGUAAUCCGUGA
rnacentral:rRNA from 1 species